rnacentral:rRNA from 1 species
AUUGAACGCUGGCGGCAGGCCUAACACAUGCAAGUCGAGCGAGAGGCGGACGGGUGAGUAAUGUAUGGGGACUGCCCGAUAGAGGGGGGUAACUACUGGAAACGGUGGAUAAUACAGCAUAUUGUCGGAUAACCCAUAUGGGAUUAGCUAGUAGGUAAGGUAAUGGCUUACCUAGGCGACGAUCCCUAGCUGGUCUGAGAGGAUGAUCAGCCACACUGGGACGGAGACACGGCCCAGACUCCUACGGAGGCAGCAGUGGGGAAUAUUGCACAAUGGGCGCAAGCCUGAUGCAGCCAUGCCGCGUGUAUGAAGAAGGCCCUAGGGUUGUAAAGUACUUUCAGUCGGGAGGCGUUACCGACAGAAGAAGCACCGGCUAACUCCGUGCCAGCAGCCGCGGUAAUUC